GUGCUCACUUUGGCAGCACAUAUACUAAAAUUGGAAUGAUACAGAGAAGAUUAGCAUGGCCCCUGCACAAGGAUGUCACAUAAAUUUAUGAAGUGUUCUGUAUUUUU
rnacentral:snRNA from 1 species